rnacentral:rRNA from 1 species
GACGAACGCUGGCGGCGUGCUUAACACAUGCAAGUCGAACGGAAAGGCCCUGCUUUUGUGGGGUGCUCGAGUGGCGAACGGGUGAGUAACACGUGAGUAACCUGCCCUUGACUUUGGGAUAACUUCAGGAAACUGGGGCUAAUACCGGAUAGGAGCUCCUGCUGCAUGGUGGGGGUUGGAAAGUUUCGGCGGUUGGGGAUGGACUCGCGGCUUAUCAGCUUGUUGGUGGGGUAGUGGCUUACCAAGGCUUUGACGGGUAGCCGGCCUGAGAGGGUGACCGGCCACAUUGGGACUGAGAUACGGCCCAGACUCCUACGGGACGCAGCAGUGGGGAGUAUUGCACAGUGGGCGGAAGCCUGAUGCAGCAACGCCGCGUGCGGGAUGACGGCCUUCGGGUUGUAAACCGCUUUCGCCUGUGACGAAGCGUGAGUGACGGUAAUGGGUAAAGAAGCACCGGCUAACUACGUG